CCAAGCAGCAGCUGGAAGAGCAGAAGAGGGAGCAGAAAAGCAAAAGACAAUGAAAAGCAAUUUCAAAACACUGUAGAAAGGUUAUGAAAAAUGAAAAAUGACAAGCAACAAUUUUCUUCAGCUACAAGGACAGCAAGUGCUAAUGAAGCAAGAUCAGCCUACAGCAACCCUGAGUCCACAAACAGCUGAUGACAACUGGUCGGUCCCAGUCAAGUCCCUGCCCUCCAUGUGCCUUUUCUAUGAAGUGAAGAUUGUAUUUGUUACAGCUUCUUUUCUCUGAGCUUUUCAUAUGGGAUACCAGCCCAUCUAUCAGAUCGCAUUUCAUCAUCUCUCAUGGAAGUCUGCGAGUGGGGCAGUUGUGGUGAGUGCAGCCAUUUCUACACAUCCCAUCCCAGACUGGGGACUGAAAGCUGGAUUCUAUCUUCCCUCCCACACAGACCAUCAAAGUGAUGCUCAUUUCCCUGUGCUAUUGCUGCCUUUGUCUUGUAGUGACACUGAUGCUUUAGCUGUCACCUGAAUGCCAUCCCUCAACCCUCUCCUUCCUGCCACCGCUCCGGUCCCAUUGAUGAGUGCCAUGGCACAGGAAUGCUGCUCGGAGCUAAACCACCAUGAGUCAUAUUGUUUUCUGAAGCAGGGCAGAAGUCAUUGAUGGGCACAUAUACUGAUAUGCAUCCAGAGAGGUAUAAUGAAAGAGGAUAACAAAAUACUAUGAAAAAUGCAGGAAAUCCCAGAGCACUUAUAAGCUGUCUGAUACACUUCUGAUUUACACAUCUGGCAAGAACUCUGGCAAGAAGUAAUGAGAAAGUUACAGAGUAUGAGGAAUCAGCAGUGCAGAGGACACUUCGCAUCUGUGAGAAGUGCAGGAAAACACCACCACCAUUCUCACUCAAGCUGGUUUGACAGAAUUAAAAAUGAACGCUUUCAUGAAAUAAGCAAGCAUCAAAGUCACCUCUCCUCCAGCAGUUCCCACCGACCAAGCAUUUCCUCUCGCUGCCUGACAGAAGGAAAAUCUGUGUCCCCAGUUCCUCAGAGACACAAUAUGCUCCAGUUCCAGGGCGACCUGUGUUUAGAAAAUCAAUUGAAGUGAAAGGGAGAACGAUAAACAUUUGAGAUCACUGGGGAGCUAAUGAUCCUCUUACAGUCCAAAGACACCACAAUUAUAGUAAUCUUUACACAAGACUGAGAACAGCAGCUCCUACCCUGAGCACACAUGUGGGAAACCUCCCCUGGGACUGAGUGCUCCUGACAAGCCAAGGUGUCACAGGGGAGCUGUAUCAGGCAGUCACUGCUCUGGGGUGAAAGGCAGGUCUGUUCGGUGCCAUGUUUAUGAUAAAGGGACACAUAUUCUCAUCUAUAAGGUACAUUAAUCUUUUUUGAUUCUUUAUUUUUUUGACUCACCUGUACCUUUGGUGUUUUUGUACUUUGCAUCCCCUGUUACAGAAUGGAAAGAUGAGGAGACAGAAAAAUAGCCAUGCUGGGACAUGGCUGGCUGUAUCUAGGCAAAAAACCUUGUUUCAGGGUGAGGUUUCCUACAGAAAGCUGCUUCUUCAGGGAGGGUUUUCCUAUAGAAAGCUGCCUGGUGCCCUGGGACCCAGCCUCUCCCAUUACCUCCCCAUGCCUGGCCAUUUCCCAGUCUCUGAUAAGGGAGUGCUGAUGAGGUUCAGAUGUGGAGUUGGCAGCCAUAGGUCCCAGUCGUGCUCUGCCUGCCAGAAAGCUUCAGAAACCAAACAUAUUGAGUUUAACCAGUUUCCAGUGACAGAAGUUUAAUUUUUCUUUCCUUUGGCAAAUCUAUUUAGCCUUUUUUUCUUAGUUGUUCUGGAUAGAUAAACACGGGUUUGAAUCACAGAUUUCGAGAUUCACACAUGAGUCAGAAACUUUGCUCUAGUUUUCUAAUUUUAUCCCUGUGGGUUUUUAUUUUAUCCACUUGUCCUGCAUAGCUUGUUUAUCUCCUGUAUUCUUUCAGCCCACUUCUGUUUGCUUCGUGAUUUGUCUCUUAGCACGUUGCUAUUCCACCUUCCUAAAAAUAAAAUCUUAAUCUUCUCAUUGAUUGCUCUGCCACCCACAACUGCAAUUUAUAAAGGCCUGUCACCACAUUCAAGUGCCAAUCUUCCUCAGUGAACAAGAACCACUUGACGGUGUUUUACAUCCUUCUGAAACCUCAUAUUCUGCUCUAGAUCUGACAGACCCAGGCUAGUAUACAAAAACUUGGAAGUCAAAAUUGGAUAGACUGGGUGGGAAGGAGGUAGCAUCUUUCUGGAAUAGUUUGUAUGUCCCAUGGACUGAUUUUUCUUUCAGUCUGCUGUCUCUGCACACUCACCCUUUAUACAGGAAUCUGUCUCUUUUUUUCACCUGCAGAAAAUGGAGUGCCAUAAAUAAGUUACCAUCUCCCCACUUACAAGUCCACCUCUUUUUAGAAAUCUGUGCAAAUAAGAGACAUUUAUCAGGCGCUUGAUAUAUGUUUUCCUCCUUAUUCUACUUGUUCAGUGCCCCCCAGGCAAAACCAAAAAACCAGUAACAUACUUAGCCCAGCAGGAAAUUUCUAUUAUUCACUUCAAAGAGCAUUAAAUACAAAUUUGAAGUCUGAGUACUAAGAUGACCCAUCCUUGAAGAAAAUAAUUCAGUUGAGUAACUAUU